rnacentral:rRNA from 1 species
CAUCAGUAAGCAGAACCAGGUAUUUAUAGACUGAAUACAUAGGUUUAUAAAAGCAAACCCGGGGAACUGAAACAUCUAAGUACCCGGAGGAAAGGAAAUCAAUUGAUACUCCCCUAGUAGCGGCGAGCGAACGGGGACCAGCCGAGCCAUGAGUGUGGUUAGAAUGCGUUGGAAUGCGCAACCAAAGUGGGUGAUAGUCCCGUAUAAGAAGCAUGAUUGGACGUAUUAAGUAGGGCGGAACACGUGAAAUUCUGUCUGAAGAUCGGAGGACCACCUUCGAAGGCUAAGUACUCCUUACUGACCGAUAGUGAACCAGUACCGUGAGGGAAAGGUGAAAAGCACCCCGACGAGGGGAGUGAAACAGUACCUGAAACCGAACGCCUACAAUCAGUUGGAGGGUCUUUACGGCCUGACAGCGUACCUUUUGUAUAAUGGGUCAUCGACUUGGUCUCACAAGCAAGCUUAAGCCGUUAGGUGUAGGCGUAGCGAAAGCGAGUCUUAAUAGGGCGUUGAGUUUGUGGGAUCAGACCCGAAACCGAGUGAUCUAGGCAUGGCCAGGUUGAAGAUAAGGUAACACUUAUUGGAGGACCGAACCCACAUCCGUUGAAAAGGAUCGGGAUGAGCUGUGCCUAGGGGUGAAAGGCCAAUCAAACUCGGAGAUAGCUGGUUCUCUGCGAAAUCUAUUUAGGUAGAGCGUCAUCCGAAUACCCUCGGGGGUAGAGCACUGGAUGGGUAAUGGGGCCCCACAGGCUUACUGAUCCUAACCAAACUCCGAAUACCGAGGAGUACUAGAUGGCAGACACACAGCGGAUGCUAACGUCCGUUGUGAAGAGGGAAACAACCCUGACCUACAGCUAAGGCCCCUAAUUCAUGGCUAAGUGGGAAAGCAGGUGAGACGACCAAAACAACCAGGAGGUUGGCUUAGAAGCAGCCAUCCUUUAAAGAUAGCGUAACAGCUCACUGGUCUAAAUAAGUUGUCUUGCGGCGAAGAUGUAACGGGGCUCAAGCCAUGAGCCGAAGCUUAGGAUGCAUUAAUUGCAUGGUAGCAGAGCGUAGUGUGACAUAAGAAGUCUUUUCUGUGAAGCCGGCGCGUGAGCGAUCCGGUGGAGAGAUCACUAGUGAGAAUGAUGACAUGAGUAGCGACAAAGAGUGUGAGAGACACUCUCGCCGAAAAUCCAAGGGUUCCUGCUUAAAGCUAAUCUGAGCAGGGUAAGCCGACCCCUAAGGCGAGGCCGAAAGGCGUAGUCGAUGGGAACCAGGUUAAUAUUCCUGGGCCAGAUGGAAGUGACGGAUCUCGAGGGUAGUUCAUCCUUAUCGGAUUGAAUGGGCUGCUUAGAGGUCCCUGGAAAUAGCUCCAUCGCUAGAUCGUACCCUAAACCGACACAGGUGGAUAGGUAGAGAAUACCAAGGCGCUUGAGAGAACUAUGUUGAAGGAACUCGGCAAAAUACCUCCGUAAGUUCGCGAGAAGGAGGCCCGGUUCCUAGGCAACUAGGGGCUGGGGGCACAAACCAGGGGGUGGCGACUGUUUAUUAAAAACACAGGGCUCUGCGAAGUCGUAAGACGACGUAUAGGGUCUGACGCCUGCCCGGUGCCUGAAGGUUAAAAGGAGGAGUGAGAGCUCUGAAUUGAAGCCCAGGUAAACGGCGGCCGUAACUAUAACGGUCCUAAGGUAGCGAAAUUCCUUGUCGGGUAAGUUCCGACCUGCACGAAUGGCGUAACGACUUCCCCGCUGUCUCCAACAUAGACUCAGCGAAAUUGAAUUACCGGUCAAGAUGCCGGUUACCCGCGGUUAGACGGAAAGACCCCGUGCACCUUUACUACAACUUCACACUGGCAUUAGGCCGAACAUGUGCAGGAUAGGUGGUGGGCUUUGAA